UGGCGAACGGGUGAGUAACGCGUGAGGAACCUGCCUCAAAGAGGGGGACAACAGUUGGAAACGACUGCUAAUACCGCAUAAGCCCACGGGUCGGCAUCGACCAGUGGGAAAAGGAGCAAUCCGCUUUGAGAUGGCCUCGCGUCCGAUUAGCUAGUUGGUGAGGUAAUGGCCCACCAAGGCAACGAUCGGUAGCCGGACUGAGAGGUUGAACGGCCACAUUGGGACUGAGACACGGCCCAGACUCCUACGGGAGGCAGCAUG
rnacentral:rRNA from 1 species